rnacentral:lncRNA from 1 species
ACCAUUCUGGAAGAAUGCAAAUAUCCCCAAAUUUUGUGCGCAAAUAGUUCCUUUUGUUUUGCUAAUUUGAAUUGCAUGGUAGUUUACUUCUUGAUCUUUCUUACAGAAAAUGCUGUUGCCUUGUGGGCUUCCUCCCGAGAGAGAAGAGGAUUGAAGUAUUUUCGAAGCAAGCACUGCAGCAAAUACUCUUCCAUCGUAUAUUAGCUUUGUUUGAAAGAGGAGGAGAAAGCAUUAUUAUUGCAUCUAUAUCGAACAUGAUGACAAUGUCUUUUUAGUGGACUCUUGGGUUUACAUGAGGGAUGUGGACUUCAGAUAGUCUGUACUCGUUUAGGUGGCACUUUGUUUUGCUUCUGUUAGGAUUUCUG